rnacentral:rRNA from 1 species
GACGAACGCUGGCGGCGUGCUUAACACAUGCAAGUCGAACGGAAAGGCCCCCACCUUGGUGGGGGUGCUCGAGUGGCGAACGGGUGAGUAACACGUGGGUGAUCUGCCCUGUACUUCGGGAUAAGCUUGGGAAACUGGGUCUAAUACCGGAUAGGACCAUGGUUUAGUGUCUCAUGGUGGAAAAAUUAUUGUUUUGGUGCAGGAUGAGCUCGCGGCCUAUCAGCUUGUUGGUGGGGUAAUGGCCUACCAAGGCGUCGACGGGUAGCCGGCCUGAGAGGGUGGACGGCCACAUUGGGACUGAGAUACGGCCCAGACUCCUACGGGAGGCAGCAGUGGGGAAUAUUGCACAAUGGGCGCAAGCCUGAUGCAGCGACGCCGCGUGGGGGAUGACGGCCUUCGGGUUGUGAACUCCUUUCGUUAGGGACGAAGCCACACCUUUUUUGGGUGUGGUGACGGUACCUUUGUUAAGAAGCACCGGCUAACUACGUG